UGUAAAAGGCUGGAUCGCGGAUAGGGAGCGCGAGCGUGAAGAAACCGGCCGCCAUCUUACGGUGCUCACAACAGUCGCCGCAGCGAUCAUGGCAACUUCUUGCAAUUACGGUCGUACCAACCGUACUGGCAAGGUUACAGGGCCUAAAUUUAUACAGGUUUCGUCAUGAGGGCUACCCAGUGAAUAAUCUGUGUAGUGUGAUACGGCUGGGUGUACAGGUUACUUCACAGCUGCCUCGACAUACUCAAGAAAUGGGUGCAGAACCUGCGUAAUGCCCACAAACUUUGAUUACCACAGCACCUCCAAAAAGUAUGUGUCACAUGGAAUUUUUAACAUGGGAUUCACAGUAUAUAAUGCCUUGUAUUAACUGUUGUAGAUCUAAGCCGUCUCUACAGUACACUCUCAGAAAUUAAAACCGUGAGAACCGUGAUAAUUGUUUCAGUUAAUAGGCAUGCACAUAUAUGCUAUAAGAAGAAAAUUAUUUUGUUGAGAAUGCACUUCUCUGGCUACUGGUGUUGUUUACAUCUACUGUUGAUCACAUUCAUUUAUCACAUAUUAUAUUCUUAUAUAUAUUAUUAUAUUAACACAUAUUUGAUCACAUUAAAUUCAAAAUUCAUCAUAUAUAAGAAAAUACCAGGAGGGAAGUUGCUAUUCAUUGCUCAUUCUAACCUAAAAUUGAGUGCGGCGCACUAUGGCCUUUGUAGCUGAUGCACCAAUAAAACCCGAAUCAAAUCAAAAUAAAAUUGAGUGCUACAAAUUUAGAGAGAGUACCUGUCCAUUGUCAUUCCUAAAAUAUAUAUUGUCAUUGUAGCAAGGUCAUAAAACAAUAAAUGUAGUCUUUUGUGA